GUCCGGAUAGCUUAGUUGGCUGGGGCGUGGUGCUGAUAACACCAAGGUUGCAGGUUUGAUCCCCAUAUAGGACA